rnacentral:lncRNA from 1 species
CCUGACCAGAUGCAGUUUAGAGGGGCGGUGACGUGCUUAAAGUCUGAGGUCAUGGGUUUGCCCACACAGAAGUGCAAUAACAGAUGUGCCCUGUUGCCUCUUUCUCUCCUUCCCGUGUCAGACCACCUCCUACACCAACAUUAAGCCCUCGUUCUCACCGAGCAAGAAGCACCAUCCGCCCUGCUGCAUCGAGCCCUGGUGUGAUGUUUGCCUAGUACUCACUUGGAGAAAUGGCACUGUUACAUUUCCUGCCCUUUCAGGAACUCUGAUCUCCAUCAGCACGUAACUGGUAUUGAUAUCACUCUUUUUUGAGUCAUCUGUGUCAGGAGCUACGGAUAGAGCCCAUGAGACCCUUCCUAAUCACAACCCACCUCUCCUCUAGCAGAACAGCUUUCAUGUCACCAAGUUCUGGG